rnacentral:rRNA from 1 species
UACGGAGGGUGCAAGCGUUAUCCGGAUUCACUGGGUUUAAAGGGUGCGUAGGCGGAAUGAUAAGUCAGUGGUGAAAUCUCGGAGCUUAACUCCGAAACUGCCAUUGAUACUGUCAAUCUUGAGUACAUUUGAUGUGGGCGGAAUGUGUCAUGUAGCGGUGAAAUGCUUAGAUAUGACACAGAACACCGAUUGCGAAGGCAGCUCACAAAACUGUAACUGACGCUGAGGCACGAAAGCGUGGGUAUCAAACAGG